rnacentral:hammerhead_ribozyme from 1 species
AUCCAGUUGACGAGUCCCAAAUAGGAUGAAACGCGUAUUCUGCAU